GAUAAACGCUGGCGGCGUGCCUAACACAUGCAAGUCGAACGCCCUUUUGCGCAAGUGAGAGGGAGUGGCGGACGGGUGAGUAGCACGUGGGUACCUACCUUGAGGUGAGGAAUACCACCGAGAAAUCGGUGACAAGACCGCAUGUCUUCGGCACCGAAGAAAGUCUCGCAAGAGACGCCACAAGAUGAGCCUGCGCCUGAUUAGCUGGUUGGUGAGGUAACAGCUCACCAAGGCAACGAUCAGUAGCUGGUCUGAGAGGAUGAUCAGCCACACUGGGAUUGAGAACGGCCCAGACUCCUACGGGGGCAGCAGUGAGGAAUUUCGUCAAUGGGGGCAACCCUGAACGAGCAACGCCGCGUGCAGGAUGACACUUUUCGGAGCGUAAACUG
rnacentral:rRNA from 1 species